UAUAUCUACAAUAUAAGAAAAUUAGAUGCUCUGGAAAAGACCCAACUGCCCUUUUGCUUUGUUAGAGAGCCACGUGGCUACCUCCUUUGCAUUUCUUUGCUUUUGCUUUUGCUUUUUCUUUUGCUGUCUACUACCAACACUAGGGUUGCUUCUAUUUUGAAAAAACCACGUUCUCUCUCUCUUCCUCUACCUCUCUCUUCCUCUUCCUCUUCUCUCUUUCUGAUAUUGUUCUCUUCUGAUUUCUGUGCAGAUGAAUAUGAUGUUGAUGGAGACGGUGAACACGUUGCUGAUGAUAUCGUGAUGUUGAUGGUUUGUUUGCUGAACCUAUGGAAUUUAUGGUCGGAGUUGAAUCGUAUACGACGAAGAAGACGCCGAUUCUCCUCAGAUUUUAGAGUUUUACCCUUUUCAGAUCUGUAAUCGUUCAAUCGCAGCAAUCCAGAGCAUUCGUUUUACCGAACCUUUUCAGAUCCCCUUUUCAUAUCGUCACUACUAUCCAUACCAUUGGUAAGAUUUUGUUACUAUGCUUUUAUUAAAUGUGUCUGAUUGUAUGGUUAUCGUGAUGUGCGUUAGAUAUGCGGUGUUCAGUUUCACGGUGGUCGAUCUGCGUUGGCAACAACGUGUUUCCGUCAGUGACUGUGGUGGUGGUCAGGAAUGGUGACGGUGUUAGCUGGUAGUUAAAGGUUAAGUCAAAAGGAAAUCGAAGGUUAGAUGUUAAGGUUCGGUGAUGAGGCUGCCCGGAGUCGGGAGUGACGUUGCCCCCAGUGCAUGGCUGACUGAGUAGCACGUCUACAUCCGGAUAUCUCACUUCAUAUACAUUUCAGGAUGUAGGCGGCUCGAUGCUUCUCUCGGGCUCUGAUUUAAUAGGUUUCUGAGAUAGGCUCUGUGCUGCGAUUUCUGUUAGUGUGGAUCAGGAAGAUCAGUUGCUCCAAUCAAAGCUGGUUUUGUAGCUCGCGUUGGCCGAAGAACUGCAGCGUCAUGAUUUGGCACUACUCAAAUGCUACAACUCUGCUACACCUAUUUGUUAGAGUGGGAGAAUGUUCUGUCAUGUAAGCUGAUUCUGGAAGAGACGCAGGAUAUCAGUUCAGAUGCGAUUUUCUCCGGAGAUUAACGAGGUAUCGUGCUCUUCCUUUUACUCUUGCGUUCUAUGUUUGCGGCAACGUGUACAUCGGCAUGCAUCACAUUGCUCAUCGAUAUCGAUCUUGGUAACUGUACAUAUUCAACAAUUGUUAGAUUGGACUCAAUUCAAAGAUAUGUUGCAGCAUCGAAGGAGACUGAGAAGUGGCUUAUUCAAUGGUGAUAUGAACGAAUGUGAGAGAUUUUAUAAAUACUAUACUUAGUAGGUUAUGAGCUAUUGCUAAAUGCCUUUGAAAUUGCAAAGCAGAAGCUGAAUGUUAUGAGGUUAUUUGAAGAUACAGUGAAUGCUAAUGUUUAAUUUGCAGCUAAUGUUUAAUUUGCAGGAACUAGGUGCACAUAUGCGAGGAGGAGGAGGAGGAUUUAGUAGGAACUAAGCUUCACAAUUUUAUGUCGGCUCAUCUCCGCCGAAUAGACAGAUAUCUACAUCCGAUUAGCGUCGAACAUAUACGCUCUUCUUGAAUUGCACUUUAAUAUAUUUGGUUUUUUCUACUAAUGUUUAGUAUUGUCUUCUUGAUUUC